rnacentral:rRNA from 1 species
GACGAACCGUGCGAACGUUGUUCGGAAUCACUGGGCUUAAAGGGCGCGUAGGCGGCCGGGUUGGUCGUGGGUGAAAUCCCCCAGCUUAACUGGGGAACUGCCUACGAUACUGCCUGGCUCGAGGGAGGAAGGGGCGGUCGGAAUUGUCGGUGGAGCGGUGAAAUGCGUUGAUAUCGACAGGAACGCCGGUGGCGAAAGCGGACCGCUGGCCCUCUUCUGACGCUGAGGCGCGAAAGCCAGGGGAGCGAACGGG